AGUCAGCUUGAAGCGCGUGAAUGAAGCAUAACUUAUUUUAAGCUAGCUCACUUUCUCCGUCUGCGAAAAUGAGCGAAAUGUUAGUCAGGCUAGCUUCUUGCACGGUCUUGUCGGUUCACUUACUUGCCUGAAGCGAAACUCUAAAAGAGAACUCGACUAAACGUGUAGAUUCCCUCGGUCGCAACCUUUGGAUGCGGGUUCGAUUCCCGCCGCCUCCACCA
rnacentral:tmRNA from 1 species